rnacentral:lncRNA from 10 species
GUUAUGGCAAUGAAAAUUUCAGAAAGGAGGAGUUGAUGAUCUUCUAGAUGUAUAUGAACACCUGUCUAUAUCUGCAUGUAUAUGUUUUGACCUGCAGUGGUUGCAAUGUUGAUAUGUGUUCAAGAUUAUUCCUGUCUACAAAACUGAAGGCCCAUGUUCAAAUUGUUCUUUAUUGGGUGUUUUUAUGGUCACGUGGUAACAAUUUUCUUACCUAACCUACAAAAGGUUCUCUUGAUGAACAUUUUUAUUUAUAUUUACUAAUCUUUUUUAAAAAAAGCUUUCAUAGCAUUAUAUAAUCAGAUGAAGAAAGCCCAGUAGAAUAAAAAAAAAAUUCAUUAGCCUAGCCUAUAUUAUGUUUUCUGUCAAAGGAAAACAAAUUCUCAAAUAGGAAUUCUAAAAAUAUUUACUAAAGUAAAAUAACUACUUAAAAUGUUUUAUUCCAGUUGGAAGGAAGGUACAGGGAGAAAUCGCAAUUAUUUAGGGGAGAAGUAUAUUUAUUAUAAGAUGGUGUCCUCAAAUUAGCCUACCAUGGCACGUAGGGGCAGCAGCUAUAUUAGAUUUACUAGAGGUGCUAAGUUAGAACACUAGGCUUUUAUUGAGGCAGGUUUUAAUAUUGAUAGAUGCUUUUUGUUUGGUUUGUUUCUUCUGGGAGAGAAUGGAGGACUUAAGUAGAAGUAGCUACUGAUAACAGACUUUCUAGUAGCAGUUUCCACUCCACGGUUACCUUUUUAGUUUCAUAGUAUCUUUUCACAAAGUAUUACAAAUAAGCUAGAUUCUCCCAGUUUGGGAAUGCAAGUUUGCUACAUUUUUAGCCUGGCAAUAUUUGUGUAGGUAUUGCCUUAUUGGAAAUUCUGGAAACCUGAUACUGCAACCUGCAAUGUAGGAUGUUUGUAUGGCAUUUAAAGGUAAUGGUGAUGUUUAUUAUUCUAUACUUUGCAUUCUGUGAGAGUAAUUUUCACUCUGUCUUAAGUGUGAGUAAGCCUCUUCUAAAAAUCUUGUUCUUGCCAAGAAAUUUAUAAAUCACAUACGAAGACGUCUGUUGCUAACAGUUAACUUUAUGAGGUAACUAUAUCCUUCUAUUUCUCUGGACUCAUUUUUAAAAAAUAUGCCGAAUACUGCAUACUGUUUAAGGUAGUAUAUAAGUUUAUGAGAGAAGUGGAGAGCUUUCUUCCUUGAAAAGUCGGUAUUUGUUGAGAUACCAUUUGCCUCACAGAGAGGUGUUCCCCACUCCCAUCCCCAUUGCCAGAUAAUAAAUAUUUUGAGAAAAGUGACCUAAAACAGCUGAAAUCUUAGGUGCAUCUGUCUGCAGACCUCCUUAAGCAGGCUGUAUCUUACAAUUCCCUUACUGCACUGGGUAAGUGUUAACUUAGUUUUUGUUGUUUGCUCUUUUGCUUUAAAUAUUCUCCAAAUUACCAUUUAUGCAACAUGGUUAGGGUUAAUACUGCAUGGUAUUCAUUUAUCUUGUUUCAUGAACUUUCCAGUACUGUACAAGGUCAACAAAGUAAUGCCUGUGGUAUCCUCAUCUCUCACUUUUUUACUCUGUGAUUUUAGCACAGUAAGGUACUGCAAAGACCUUCCUUCCAAAUGUUCUCCUUGACUUUAUUUCUUGGGCCAAUUCAGUAUCCUCAACAUCCUAAGAUUUUGUUGUUUUAUCACUGACCUGUGGUUGGCCUGUUUUAUUCUAAUUUCCAGAAAAGUCAAGUCCCAGUAUUUGCAAUAUCAAAUAACUCUAAAACCGAUGUGUGAUUCUACCUUCCUUACUAUUUUUACUGGGCAAAUGCCCUAUUUUUUUAAUUAUUAUUAUUUUUAACUUUUGGGACACACAAAAAUCAGCAAUUCUCAUGAAGCGUUUGUUAGUGUGGCAGACUUGUCUAAUUCCUGAAACUCAUUCAUCCCCUUGAGCCAGCCAAUGGGGAGGAAUAGGAUAAUGCAAACACAUGUUUUGUUUUCUCAUUUUCAAAUAAUUUACCAUGUUAAAAUAAACUUUUCUUUGUUUUUUAUUUGUAGAGUCAGCUAAGUACCCAUAUUUAAAUGCCGUCUUUAUUAUUUUUUUGAGGUCUUUGUUUUUGUCUGUUUUUGUUUUGUUUUGUUUUGUAAAUAAGGUAACUGGGCAAUCAAACACCUUUUGGGGAUUCUGGCUUUAGUAUUUUAUCAGCCAUUUUAAAAUUAAAUAUAAAAAUCCUUUGUAAGAAACUUGCAUCCUAAUUUUUCUUUAUUGCAAUUGAAAGUGUAAAUAAUAAGACAAUGUAAGUAAGACCUUCCUAAUGUCUAAUACAAACUGGGCUCCAGCAAGUGGCCCUAUUUUUAUUAGGGUUUUGAAGGUUUGUGUGUGUGUGUGCGUGCGUGUGUGUGUUUUUCUUUUUUAAAUGUAUAGUAGAGUGGUGUCUGUAUAAGUGUUACCUGUAGUGGGGUUUUGUCCAGCAAGCCUGAAAUUUAUACUUUGAAAUAAAACUACUGGGUUUUUAAC